rnacentral:rRNA from 1 species
AACGAACGCUGGCGGCGCGCCUAACACAUGCAAGUCGAACGAGAAGCUGUAGCAAUACAGUUGUACAGUGGCGAACGGGUGAGGAAUACAUGGGUGACCUACCUUCGAGUGGGAAUAACCAGCCGAAAGGUUGGCUAAUACCGCGUACGUUUCCCAGUCCGCGGAUUGGGAAGGAGAGCGAUGCCGUGGGUAUCGCGCUCAAGGUUGGGCUCAUGUCCUAUCAGCUUGNGGUGAGGUAACGGCUCACCAAGGCAACGACGGGUAGCUGGUCUGAGAGGACGAUCAGCCACAC